rnacentral:rRNA from 1 species
AGAGUUUGAUCCUGGCUCAGGAUGAACGCUAGCUACAGGCUUAACACAUGCAAGUCGAGGGGCAUCAGGAAGAAAGCUUGCUUUCUUUGCUGGCGACCGGCGCACGGGUGAGUAACACGUAUCCAACCUGCCGAUGACUCGGGGAUAGCCUUUCGAAAGAAAGAUUAAUACCCGAUGGUAUAUCUGAAAGGCAUCUUUCAGCUAUUAAAGAAUUUCGGUCAUUGAUGGGGAUGCGUUCCAUUAGGUUGUUGGCGGGGUAACGGCCCACCAAGCCAUCGAUGGAUAGGGGUUCUGAGAGGAAGGUCCCCCACAUUGGAACUGAGACACGGUCCAAACUCCUACGGGAGGCAGCAGUGAGGAAUAUUGGUCAAUGGGCGCGAGCCUGAACCAGCCAAGUAGCGUGAAGGAUGACUGCCCUAUGGGUUGUAAACUUCUUUUAUACGGGAAUAAAGUUAGGCACGUGUGCCUUUUUGUAUGUACCGUAUGAAUAAGGAUCGGCUAACUCCGUGCCAGCAGCCGCGGUAAUACGGAGGAUCCGAGCGUUAUCCGGAUUUAUUGGGUUUAAAGGGAGCGUAGGCGGAUGCUUAAGUCAGUUGUGAAAGUUUGCGGCUCAACCGUAAAAUUGCAGUUGAUACUGGGUGUCUUGAGUACAGUAGAGGCAGGCGGAAUUCGUGGUGUAGCGGUGAAAUGCUUAGAUAUCACGAAGAACUCCGAUUGCGAAGGCAGCUCACUGGACUGCAACUGACACUGAUGCUCGAAAGUGUGGGUAUCAAACAGGAUUAGAUACCCUGGUAGUCCACACAGUAAACGAUGAAUACUCGCUGUUUGCGAUAUACAGUAAGCGGCCAAGCGAAAGCGUUAAGUAUUCCACCUGGGGAGUACGCCGGCAACGGUGAAACUCAAAGGAAUUGACGGGGGCCCG